GAAAGUCCGACGGUACAGGGUGAUAGUCCCGUACACCAAAAUGCACAGGCUGUGAACUCGAAGAGUAGGGCGGGACACGUGGUAUCCUGUCUGAAUAUGGGGGGACCAUCCUCCAAGGCUAAAUACUCCUGACUGACCGAUAGUGAACCAGUACCGUGAGGGAAAGGCGAAAAGAACCCCGGCGAGGGGAGUGAAAAAGAACCUGAAACCGUGUACGUACAAGCAGUGGGAGCACCUUCGGGUGUGACUGCGUACCUUUUGUAUAAUGGGUCAGCGACUUAUAUUCUGUAGCAAGGUUAACCGUAUAGGGGAGCCGCAGGGAAACCGAGUCUUAACUGGGCGUUAAGUUGCAGGGUAUAGACCCGAAACCCGGUGAUCUAGCCAUGGGCAGGUUGAAGGUUGGGUAACACUAACUGGAGGACCGAACCGACUAAUGUUGAAAAAUUAGCGGAUGACUUGUGGCUGGGGGUGAAAGGCCAAUCAAACCGGGAGAUAGCUGGUUCUCCCCGAAAGCU
rnacentral:rRNA from 1 species